GGGUUGUGAGGUUAAGCGACUAAGCGUACACGGUGGAUGCCCUGGCAGUCAGAGGCGAUGAAGGGCGUGCUAAUCUGCGAUAAGCGCCGGUAAGGUGAUAUGAACCGUUAUAACCGGCGAUACCCGAAUGGGGAAACCCAGUGUGACUCGUCACACUAUCAUUAACUGAAUCCAUAGGUUAAUGAGGCGAACCGGGGGAACUGAAACAUCUAAGUACCCCGAGGAAAAGAAAUCAACCGAGAUUCCCCCAGUAGCGGCGAGCGAACGGGGAGGAGCCCAGAGCCUGAAUCAGCAUGUGUGUUAGUGGAAGCGUCUGGAAAGGCGCGCGAUACAGGGUGACAGCCCCGUACACAAAAGCGCAUGUGCUGUGAGCUCGAUGAGUAGGGCGGGACACGUGGUAUCCUGUCUGAAUAUGGGGGGACCAUCCUCCAAGGCUAAAUACUCCUGACUGACCGAUAGUGAACCAGUACCGUGAGGGAAAGGCGAAAAGAACCCCGGCGAGGGGAGUGAAAAAGAACCUGAAACCGUGUACGUACAAGCAGUGGGAGCACCCUUUGGGGUGUGACUGCGUACCUUUUGUAUAAUGGGUCAGCGACUUAUAUUCUGUAGCAAGGUUAACCGAAUAGGGGAGCCGGAGGGAAACCGAGUCUUAAUUGGGCGUUAAGUUGCAGGGUAUAGACCCGAAACCCGGUGAUCUAGCCAUGGGCAGGUUGAAGGUUGGGUAACACUAACUGGAGGACCGAACCGACUAAUGUUGAAAAAUUAGCGGAUGACCUGUGGCUGGGGGUGAAAGGCCAAUCAAACCGGGAGAUAGCUGGUUCUCCCCGAAAGCUAUUUAGGUAGCGCCUCGUGAAUUCAUCUCCGGGGGUAGAGCACUGUUUCGGCUAGGGGGCCAUCCCGGCUUACCAACCCGAUGCAAACUGCGAAUACCGGAGAAUGUUAUCACGGGAGACACACGGCGGGUGCUAACGUCCGUCGUGAAGAGGGAAACAACCCAGACCGCCAGCUAAGUCCCAAAGUCAUGGUUAAGUGGGAAACGAUGUGGGAAGGCCCAGACAGCCAGGAUGUUGGCUUAGAAGCAGCCAUCAUUUAAAGAAAGCGUAAUAGCUCACUGGUCGAGUCGGCCUGCGCGGAAGAUGUAACGGGGCUAAACCAUGCACCGAAGCUGCGGCAGCGACGCUUAUGCGUUGUUGGGUAGGGGAGCGUUCUGUAAGCCUGUGAAGGUGGCCUGUGAGGGUUGCUGGAGGUAUCAGAAGUGCGAAUGCUGACAUAAGUAACGAUAAAGCGGGUGAAAAGCCCGCUCGCCGGAAGACCAAGGGUUCCUGUCCAACGUUAAUCGGGGCAGGGUGAGUCGACCCCUAAGGCGAGGCCGAAAGGCGUAGUCGAUGGGAAACAGGUUAAUAUUCCUGUACUUGGUGUUACUGCGAAGGGGGGACGGAGAAGGCUAUGUUGGCCGGGCGACGGUUGUCCCGGUUUAAGCGUGUAGGUGUGUGUUCCAGGUAAAUCCGGUUCACUUUAACACUGAGGCGUGAUGACGAGGCACUACGGUGCUGAAGCAACAAAUGCCCUGCUUCCAGGAAAAGCCUCUAAGCAUCAGGUAACAUCAAAUCGUACCCCAAACCGACACAGGUGGUCAGGUAGAGAAUACCAAGGCGCUUGAGAGAACUCGGGUGAAGGAACUAGGCAAAAUGGUGCCGUAACUUCGGGAGAAGGCACGCUGACACGUAGGUGAAGUGAUUUACUCACGGAGCUGAAGUCAGUCGAAGAUACCAGCUGGCUGCAACUGUUUAUUAAAAACACAGCACUGUGCAAACACGAAAGUGGACGUAUACGGUGUGACGCCUGCCCGGUGCCGGAAGGUUAAUUGAUGGGGUCAGCGCAAGCGAAGCUCCUGAUCGAAGCCCCGGUAAACGGCGGCCGUAACUAUAACGGUCCUAAGGUAGCGAAAUUCCUUGUCGGGUAAGUUCCGACCUGCACGAAUGGCGUAAUGAUGGCCAGGCUGUCUCCACCCGAGACUCAGUGAAAUUGAACUCGCUGUGAAGAUGCAGUGUACCCGCGGCAAGACGGAAAGACCCCGUGAACCUUUACUAUAGCUUGACACUGAACAUUGAGCCUUGAUGUGUAGGAUAGGUGGGAGGCUUUGAAGCGUGGACGCCAGUCUGCGUGGAGCCGACCUUGAAAUACCACCCUUUAAUGUUUGAUGUUCUAACGUGGACCCGUAAUCCGGGUUGCGGACAGUGUCUGGUGGGUAGUUUGACUGGGGCGGUCUCCUCCUAAAGAGUAACGGAGGAGCACGAAGGUUGGCUAAUCCUGGUCGGACAUCAGGAGGUUAGUGCAAUGGCAUAAGCCAGCUUGACUGCGAGCGUGACGGCGCGAGCAGGUGCGAAAGCAGGUCAUAGUGAUCCGGUGGUUCUGAAUGGAAGGGCCAUCGCUCAACGGAUAAAAGGUACUCGGGGAUAACAGGCUGAUACCGCCCAAGAGUUCAUAUCGACGGCGGUGUUUGGCACCUCGAUGUCGGCUCAUCACAUCCUGGGGCUGAAGUAGGUCCCAAGGGUAUGGCUGUUCGCCAUUUAAAGUGGUACGCGAGCUGGGUUUAGAACGUCGUGAGACAGUUCGGUCCCUAUCUGCCGUGGGCGCUGGAGAACUGAGGGGGCUGCUCCUAGUACGAGAGGACCGGAGUGGACGCAUCACUGGUGUUCGGGUUGUCAUGCCAAUGGCACUGCCCGGUAGCUAAAUGCGGAAGAGAUAAGUGCUGAAAGCAUCUAAGCACGAAACUUGCCCCGAGAUGAGUUCUCCCUGAGACUUAGAGUCUCCUGAAGGAACGUUGAAGACGACGACGUUGAUAGGCCGGGUGUGUAAGCGCAGCGAUGCGUUGAGCUAACCGGUACUAAUGAACCGUGAGGCUUAACCUUACAACGCCGAAG
rnacentral:rRNA from 1 species